ACCACUUCGGUGGGGAUUAGUGGCGAACGGGUGAGUAACACGUGGGCAAUCUGCCCUGCACUCUGGGACAAGCCCUGGAAACGGGGUCUAAUACCGGAUACUGACCCUCACGGGCAUCUGUGAGGUUCGAAAGCUCCGGCGGUGCAGGAUGAGCCCGCGGCCUAUCAGCUUGUUGGUGAGGUAAUGGCUCACCAAGGCGACGACGGGUAGCCGGCCUGAGAGGGCGACCGGCCACACUGGGACUGAGACACGGCCCAGACUCCUACGGGAGGCAGCAGUGGGGAAUAUUGCACAAUGGGCGAAAGCCUGAUGCAGCGACGCCGCGUGAGGGAUGACGGCCUUCGGGUUGUAAACCUCUUUCAGCAGGGAAGAAGCGAAAGUGACGGUACCUGCAGAAGAAGCGCCGGCUAACUACGUGCCAGCAGCCGCGGUAAUACGUAGGGCGCGAGCGUUGUCCGGAAUUAUUGGGCGUAAAGAGCUCGUAGGCGGCUUGUCACGUCGGUUGUGAAAGCCCGGGGCUUAACCCCGGGUCUGCAGUCGAUACGGGCAGGCUAGAGUUCGGUAGGGGAGAUCGGAAUUCCUGGUGUAGCGGUGAAAUGCGCAGAUAUCAGGAGGAACACCGGUGGCGAAGGCGGAUCUCUGGGCCGAUACUGACGCUGAGGAGCGAAAGCGUGGGGAGCGAACAGGAUUAGAUACCCUGGUAGUCCACGCCGUAAACGGUGGGCA
rnacentral:rRNA from 1 species